GCCGUUUGUCGUAAAGAGCAGCUCACUGGGUGAGGCUGGCCAAUGAAGAGCAAGGAGCAGAGGAAGCAGAGCAAGAGGGCAAGGAGCAGAGUGUAGGUGAGGUCCCGGUUGUUGGCUUUGACAAUGGGAGUGUCCCUGUUCUUAGAGAAGACGCCAAGGACCAAGACUGUGACCAGAGCGAAGAGCAGAGCUAAGGCAACUAAUGUGAAUCCCAAAGGCUCUGCGUAAGAAAGGAAAUUGUGGGUCUUGGGAAUGCAUUGAUCUCUGUUGUGGUUUGGAAAUUGUCCUUCUUGGCAUUCAAAACAAUAAUCCGUAUCUAAAAAAAUCAAAUGAAUGAUAUAUGAGUUUGAACAAACAAGGCAACCUUUUUUUUUGUAAUGAAAUGGAUGCUUCCAUUUCCAAUGGCAUUUCAAUUUUCCUUUGAAAGAAAUAUUGCUUCUGCUCCCAAAACACAAUACUGAGCCAUUAAUUAGUUGGAAACAAGUAUCAGAGAUAAGUCAAAACCAGUAAAAUGCAACGGGUAUUCUUUCUUCAUAAACCAUAUAGGUGGUUUCAAUCAAGUCACCAGGAAUUUAGGAAGCAAAGUAUUGACAAUUGUUAAUAUGGGGCCAAGAGCAAAAUAAUGGGGAUGGAGGGUUAGGCAAGUGUUCACUGACUCCACAAGUUGUGGCAGGUGGGGAGCAGGCAGAAAACACUGGACAUGAUUCAUACCUAUUUCCACAGAUCCACUUUGGAGAUGUGGCUUUAGUUUGCCCAACUCUCUGUGUCCGUCUUCUUUCUUCCAGAUCUGAGUGCAACUGCUGUUCUGUUUAGGAGUACUGAACUGCUAAUACGGGGAAACUGUUGAAAUAGACUAGGAAGUAUUUUAUCAUAGAGCAGAUGAUGUCUCCUACCUGUUUGAUUUGAAAUCAUCCCAUCUGGACAUGAAGCACAGUCAUAACAACAAAAUGGCUGCCCCUCCUUCUUUUUCCGGCUGUAGCCUGGCUGGCACCGAUCAUUGCACAAACCAAGGGGCAGCACCUAGCCAGAAAGAGAGGAGAAGAGGAAGCUCCCUUUUGCAUGGUAAAGAACACAGUUUGAACCAAAGAGACAAGCUAACUUGUCAAAUUCAUGUUCUUCCAGAAAGGUGGUGUAUGUGUGAAUAAAUUGUAAUAUAAAUAUUGGGAGUGAAGCAGAAGGGAAAUUGAAUAUUUUCACCUGUACUGAAUAUUUUCACCUGUAUUAGAUGGUGGCUGGAAAGAGGGCAGGGAAAGACAACCAGUUCUCAAAUACAGGGUGUUGGCAGAGAAGGAAAAAUAGGAAGCAUAUACAUUAGGCUCCAAUUGGCUCCAAUACCAUCAAUUGUAUGAGACAUUUAAAGUAGAUAAAAGAAAAGAAUUUGCAAUAGAACCAUCUAGAUUAGAGAAUGAUCUGAUCAAUUCAAAAGCUAAAAUACUUUCCAAAAUGUACAUUGACUGGGAAGUCUAGGAGGAGGAGGUAAAUGAUAAAAUGGUCAUAGGAGUUAGGCUAUAAUAUCUUAAUGUAGGACUGGGAAAACCUCUGGAAAACCAAUAUGAAAUUCACUGCUUGCUACAUACUGAGAGAAAACCUUUUGAAAAUGCAAUAUCGUUGGAUAAAUAGGUAGCACUGCAUCGGGAAGGUAAAUGGUGUUCCGUUGUGCCAGAAACAAUUUAGUCAUGCUGCCUACAAGACCUGCAAAGCUGUUGACUGCACGUGACCGUCCAGAGGUCUUUGACCUUCCCUUUCCUUUCCCUCUUACAUUAAUGUGACCUAGCUAAGCCUAGCAGGAGACCUUACUCUCUUGUAGUAACCCCUUCAUGCAAUAACUAAACUUAAGAAUGUUAUUAACAUCAGACUUUAUUCUUGAAUUUGUAUUCAUAAUGUUAAAAAAAAACUUCUCCCUUAAAAAAAGAACCAAGAGUCCACUCCCACCUGAUUGAAUGCUUUGUGCCAUGUGAUGGCUUCUUCAUCCAUGCUGAAGUCCACAUACUCUUGUGGUUCUUGUGGUUCUACUUUUCCUACUUUCACUCGCAAGAAGGUUUGGUUGGGGAAAGUAACCCAGUUAAUAACGUCAAAUCCAGCUGCCAAUUCCCCAUUCACAUCAAAAGACACAAAGUCCCCAGCACUGUUGUUGAAGGAGAUACUCCUCAGGAAAGAGGGAAGCUAGGCAGAAGAAAACAAGGCAUACGAAAAGUAUCAAUCAAUAUAUGCCACACAAUGGAAAGCAGUAAACAAUGGAGUGGUCCACCUUUGGAGCACAUAUAGAUUUCUGGGAAAGUUCCAGUUUACCUGGAACUUAAGUAUUUAAGCAUUCAGCUCAGAGGAUCCAUGUGCAAAGGCAAAGUCGUGCAAGGUCAGCAACCCCUGCAACUGCCCUCCACAAGGUGGAGAGGGGCUUCCUGGGCUCUGGGAAGGUUGCAGGAGGACCAAGGGAUGCUCCCAGAGCCCUGUCAUAACCUUCCCACUGCCUGGGAAGCAAGGGGGCACUUUCAUUGCUUGUUUCUGAGACGCACUCAGUGGCCUUGUGUCUUCUUCCCCGAGGCUGGUAUGGAGUGCACUGCCUUGCUCACCUGGCUUUGGAAGGGAAGCACCUUCAUGCCUCCUUCCCAGAGCCCAGCAAGCAAGGGGGAGGACUGAACACCAAGGGCCCUCCCUGGACCUGCUGAGAGCCUGGUAAGAAAGGAAGACCUUCGGGGGGGGGGCAAGGGGAAGGGGAUGAGAUGUUGCCAAAGGAAUGUUCUGGAGAGGUUCUUCCUGGAUAAAAACAUACCAUCUUUCUGAUAGUAACACAUCAUGAGUUCCAGUUUAACAUGUCUCCUUCUUCACCACUCCUGACAUAUCAGCAUCACAAACACAUAGGACAGCAGAACAUGCAGCUCCUUCCACAACAUUGUUGAGUUUUACAAGGAGGUGACAUUUCUCUGAGGAAGUGCAGUAAGAGAUACUUCCACCUCUGCAACUUGAAGGGGAAGUACAGGGAAUAUAUUGAUUCUUGCUCCAAAUUGAAGGCAAGGGAAAACAGGGAAGCACUGAAAAGAACAUUUGUUUUGUGUGGGAAAGGUAAAUGCUGUAAGAGACGUUUUUCUUCCAUGUGUAUUCAGUCUAUGGACUGUUUGUUGACACUCAUUAGUUUAGCCCGAAGCAAAGAUUUAUUCCGAAUAUGAAAUCUUACCUGCCAAGGUUGCAGUUUGGGAGGAUCGAGUCUACCUCUGCUUGAUGUCAUUCUGUGUUUCGGUCUGGAUGAGAGAAUCUUGUGCAAAGUAUAUGCAAUGGCAUAAACCGCAUUAUAGGUACUGUAACUUUGACCAGUCAUGAUCAUUUCAAAAGUAUGCCCAGGAAGGCUCUCCAGACUCUCUUUGCCAGUGCAUGUGUCUGUGCUUUCAUUGGGCUUAUUUGAAACUGAAAGUAAGCAGUUGAAUGCCUGUUCCCAAAAAGCCUGGAGGAACCCAUCUCCAUUUGGAGAGUUGGGGUUUAGGGUCUGAAGGAAUUCUUUAAAUCCCUGGACUUUUUCUGUGUGAAUUGCAAAAGACAGGGCACCAUCAAAGACUUGAAUAUCAUAAUACCUUUGCAAUGUAUCUGAUGAGAAUGCCCAUUGGGCUGUCAAAAUCCACACUGUGCUCGCUGAAUUCUCUGCAAUAUCUUCAGCUAAUGAAAAGAAAUAUUUCAACCACUUCACAGCUAUGAUGGUCUGAGAUUCUGCACAUACAACCAAUAUAUUGACUUCUGAGACCACCAGGGAAAAGGACUUAGCCCGAAUGGGAUCCAGUGAAAUAAAAUGAUCCAUCCCUUGUGAUAUGGCUGGUAUUUUUUCCUUGAAGGCUGUGCAGACUCCAUGCUGGGAAAGCAUUGGCCCUAAGAUUUGCAUAAACUUCUCUCCAUUUUCAUCAUCUGAAGCAACAAGCCCGACCCACGUCCAUUGGAAAUGAAGAAGUAGCUUGACAAUCCCUGCAUAUUGAUAUUUCUCAUUGGGCACCGUCCGGAAGAAGGUUUGGAGCUGCAACUCGGUCCUCCUCACUGGAGCUAAUGCACAAUAAGCAAUCUAAGGAAGAAAUCAACCUCACAAUUAUGGGAGGGUUAUAGCAAACGGUUAGGAUUUAACCCAAUCAACUGCCUGAAGUGGAACCCAAGUGAAUUCAUUGAAGGUAAAAAUAUAUUCUUUAGUUUUUGCAUAUCGGAGGAAUUUGGAUGAAUGUAAGAAGAGUUUGGAUUUGAUACCCCUCUAUAUCACUACCCGAAGGAGUCUCAAAGCGGCUAACAUUCUCCUUUCCCUUUCUUCCCCACAACAAACACUCUGUGAGGUGAGUGGGGCUCAGAGACUUCAAAGAAGUGUGACUGGCCCAAGGUCACCCAGCAGCUGCAUGUGGAGGAGUGGAGAUGCGAACCUGGUUCACCAGAUUACGAGUCCACCGCUCUUAACCACUACACCACACUGGCUGUAAGGACAAGUUCCUUGUUUUGGAGGUGUUACAACAUAAAACACUGAAUCCAUUAUGCAUCAAUGACAUCUUGGUCAGUUUUAUCAUUUACAAUGAAUUAUGUAGAAAGUGAAAUAUUUCUUAAGUUAUAUUAGAUCUAUGAGGAUGAAAUGCUCAAAUCUUUUGUUCCCUAAUGCCAACAAUAAUGUCACUUUCCUCCCAGAAUCAUCCUUUUGAUUAACUAAUUCGGGUUCAUAGAUAAUGUCAACUAAUUUCAUUGAAAGCAGCAGACAUUUGAGGAAUAUUCAUUUUAUUCAUUUUAUUCUUCAGUGGUUGAUUAUUUUGCAAACCCCCCCCCCAUAGAUCGAUCAAUCAAUCAAUCAAUCUUUAUUGUCGUCAAAGACUAGACAGCAAAGUUAACAACAGCAACAUAUGCCACAUCCACAUGAAGAAGCUGAUGUAAUAAAAAAAUUCCCUAUAAAUUUAUUUAAAUUAGGUAACAUUCCUUUUGAUUAAAUCUGUAUUCUGGAGGUUAAAAUCCGUACUCAUUCACCAGCCAGCACCGCAGCCUAUCUUGUCCUUGUUGCCAUAAAACAGAGUUUUGCAACAGGCCUGAUGAUAUUCAGAUUGUUUUGCAUCCCCCCUCUUCAUGGGGUAUUUUGCUUAUCUUGACUGCAACUACUUGGAAAGAUGAAGAACCCCACUAAAGGAGCACAAGAUCUUGACAUCUUCCUGCAAGUUCUGCAACCUUGGAAGGAAGGACACCUCAAGGGAACUAUGAAUGGAUUGUCUAUGCAUGGAUUGUCUGUCAAGAAAUUGAUAUGCAUGGAUUGUCUGUCAAGGAACUAUUUUGCACUUGGACAUCAUGUUUUAUUUCAUGAGUGAGGAACCUAUGGCCCCCCAGAACUUCCUGAACUUCAAGUCCAAGUGCUCAUCUUUGACUAUUGAGCUAUACUGGCUGAGGCUAGUGGGCAACAUAUGGACAAGCAACAGCCAUUUCUGAUGAGACAAUUCCGGGAACAGGAGAGAAAUUCGCUUCAAAUUGUUGAACAAAUUUACCUGUUUUAUUUUGUUGGAAGCUGACCAGAGUGGCUGGGGAAACUCAGUCAGAUGGGCAGCAUUUGUGAACCAAAAUGCAGCUUACUGGGAGAAGGGGAAUUCCUAUUGGUGCAUUGGCACUGUACUAACCUUCCUCCCGCUUCCCAAUCCGCCAGACAAGCUUCAGGGACACAUGUGACAGGAGGUCAGGCAGUCAUCCAACCCUUCCCCUACAGCCACAACUGUAUAUGGUCACCAUGAGUAACAGUAAACAAGUAAUGAGUAAACAACUCUUUAUCUUUCCAGGUAGGACGUUUUACCGAGAAAAAAUGAGCAAAUCAGAUGCUGUUCUAUCAGUAAUAUAUUUUUCUAUCUUUCUUCUUUUUCAGAAAAGGGAAUGUCAGGGAAUGACAUCGGAGCUAGAGGCGGAGGGAAAGCUCUCAAAUGAUACUGGAGAAGGGCCCAGCAGGGAGAGAGGCAGCUCAGCAGAUGGGGAAGCAAAUCAGCGCAACACCAGGGAUAAAGGGGGGGCAGAUGGGGGAAUCGGCGAGAGGGCUCCAGGACUCUUCACCAGACACCAGCAGGGAGAGCACGGGUCCUCCGCUACCCACGCCCUCCCUGCGCAGAAGACUUCCAUGCAGAGAGAGUAGGAGGAGACUGGGUGUCAAACAACUUUUAUGUUGGAAAAGGUUUAAGAAACGCCCACUGACGGAUUCUGCUAGCGACUGAGGCAGCCACGAAGUGAAGGGCUGCCCAGACAGAAAGGUUUAACAAGGCAGCAUAGCCAGGAGAGGCGGCAACUUACGCACGAGCAACACAUUCUCAGUACAGGGAACCAAAGUAAAAGAAAGUAUGGAGAACCCAGAAGAGAAUUAUUGUACCAGAGACAGAAAAGCUCCACUGCCCACACACUCACUAUACCUGUGGGAUCUUGUAGAUGCCUAAGAUCGUAGUCAUGUGAAGUGAGAUGUCAGAGUCAAGUGCUCCAAUAACAGCUAUCAUAUUUCUUUUCUUGUCACAUUUGAAGUUGGGGACAAUACUUUCUGUGGUGGACAGAAGUUUCAGGGUGUUCUGAUAAGUCAUCCUUGCAUUUAAAUAGCUAUCAUAGAGGUGGAACCCAAAGCUCAUAUUUGGUACGAUGUUGGGGUUCUCAUUGAUUUCUUUCACAGCAAACACCAGAGAGAGGGUAUUCUGGUAGUACUUUGGUGCUCCACUAAUAAAAGAGUUAUACUAUGUGUCAGAGAUAUUCUCCUCCUCUACUUUUUAAGCAUGUAGCUUACUUUCUGGCUUUUUCAGCCAAAUUCCAAAAAAUUAAAUAAAACAAAUAAGCAAACAACACAUAUGCAUUGUGUCUCCUAACAGUUGAUAAUUGAAACCCAUGGACAGUUAGGCAGGGUUUCUUCCAGGCAGACAAAUGAGGAACAAUAUCAGAAAUAUUAUCGAUAUUAUAGAAUACCUGGAAGUAAGAAAUGAAAAACAGGCAGCGUUGGUGUUUUUAGAUGCUGAGAAAGCGUUUGAUGAUAUCUCAUGGAAAUUCAUGAAAAAAGUUCUAGAGAAAAUGAACUUUGGUGAAAAAUUUAGGAAAGGGAUUCAAGCAAUAUAUUCAGAUCAAAAAGCCAAUUUAAUUGUAUAUCAUAUGCACUGUGUCUCCUAACAGUUGAUAAUUGAAACCCAUGGACAGUAUUCAGUCAGCUUUAGGAAUAGAGCAUCUAACAGGUGUUUAAUUUUGUGCAGAACAUUCACAUCCUGCAAGAUACACAGUACAUAAGUUAAUUUUUUAUCUGGAGGUGUACCACUGGAGCUUCAAAUCAUGGCCCCUCACAGGUAACUAAAGCAAACAGCAAUUGCUUCUUGUAUGAUGCUGCUGGGCAGGAGGACGGUUGUAUUAAUUUCAGUGGGCCUCCUCUGCAUAUAACUCUGUUAGAUAUAACCCUUUAUUUUGCAAAGAAAAAGAAGAAGAUUGCAACACUGCUGUUUUAAUUGCACAGUAUUGUUUACAUUGUAUAGCAAGGAAUAUAAUCCAAAAUCUAUGAUAUCGCAGCAUCUAUGACUGUCAGAUUAAAUGAUGGUGACUGUGAAUGUGGGGAUCAAGCUUUCCUGUAAAGUAAAACCAUCCAUCCAUGGUGGGACAGAAAACACAGAGGGAGGGUGAGGAUCAAGCAUGAGAUCAGGUGAGAAACAUGAGAUCAGGUGAGGAGAAAGCAGAAGAGACAGAAGACAGAAACCUCCAGAUGAGGAAUAAAGCAACAUAGGAGAAGAUGCCAAGAUCACUAUAGAAGAAAAUGUAUUUUUAACCUUUAUACUUGGAAAAGUCAUAUGCAAAUAUUUUCUGAGCAUGCCAUGGUUUGUGUAGUGUAGUUGUAGCAUAGAAAAAUGUACACUAUGAAGGAGAGAGUGAUUUCCUUACUAAAGUUCAUCUGUGAACUUUGUGUUUGGGUGGUCCUGGAAAUCUAUAUCUUCAGAAAAAUAGCCAAAAGUAUUAACAAUUCCUCCAAUGAUUAGGUCCCCUCUCUGAUAAUACUGGUAUGGAAGCUGGAAUGGAUCCGUCAUGGUGCAUGUCUCAGAGUCUUCCUUGCACUCAGUUGGAGGCAUCUGCAGCCACAGGAAGAGAAGAAUCAUCAGCAGAAAUGUUCCUACCAUCUUGACCAACAGUUAUGCAGAAAGACAGAUUUCUCUCUCAUCCACCAUGAAUUGCAUUAGGUUUAAUGGCACUGGAUUAUUUUAAUAAAGGGGAUGUGCCAAAGAUCUGUUCCAUGAAAUCCUUUGUGUUCAGAAUUUCUCACUGGGGCUCUAAAUGACACAGGGUUUAUUUUAUAUACACCUUGUGUUUAUGAUAUAAUGUAUGUGGGAUUUGGCAAUAUGAUGAAACCCACAUUUCGAAAUAAUUACUUGUUCCAAAGUGAUCUCCUUAGAGUAUUGUGCUCUGUAAGGGAAAACAGUAACAGCAAAAUAAUCAUAUGUAUUUGUUAUUGAACGGUGCGCUGGUAAUUGUGAGUGUCGCAUGCAAGCAUGCUUCCCCCAGCUGAGGGCUCUUAGGCUGGAUCUAAAAGCGUCAAAGAAGCAAUUCAAUUAAAUGCGCUGGAAACUCAUACAGGGAAAUCCAGUAGGGAAAGGUGGGUCUCCACAUGUUUUUUGUUUGGCUUUCAGCCUUUUAAUUAUCAUUUUUUCUUUAAUCAGAAGUUGGGUUGCAACUGGCAGAUAUAUAACCUAGGGUUGCCGCAUUUCAAGAAGUAAAAAUCCUGACAUUUGUUGAGCCCCAAAAUUGUUGAGCUUCUUUUCAGUGGUUGCCCACUCACCCCCCCAACCCAAACCACCCACAGCUGUGCCAGAACCCGGGGCCCAAACCUGAACCCAAGUCACGCCUUCCCCGCUGCCCAAAAGAGAACAUGUUUGGGAGGAACGGUGCACAGCCAGACAGCACAAAUACUGGUUUGAACUGAGCAGCAACCAGGAAGAACAGAGCUUGUGAGGUAUUUCCCCACUGUCUGGAUGCUGUCAGCAGCUCCUGGCUGGUUGCCCAGGGAAGUAUAAAGACAAGGAAAAGUUUCUUACAGUCUUUUUUAUUUCAAACUUUACAGAGAGAGGCUAUGGAACCCAUCCUCUUGGAUAAUGGCAUUGUCCCGAGUGAAUCUCCACCCCCCGUCUCUCCCACUUCCUCAUUGGUCAUCAUCAUCACCUCCUCUACAGGUGCUUCUACGUGCCCUCUGUCUUUGAGCUCUUUGCUCCCCUACUUUUAAAGAUCGUCAGGUUGUGGGAGAUGGAGAGUCUGGGAUGCUUUCUAGUGACAACAUGUCAGCCAGCUGCUGCUCUGGCUCUCUCAUUAAUUCCCAACUUUUCCCCUCAUCUGCCUCUGAGCUGUGACCUCCCACAAACCCCUGUUGUAAAGCUAUACUGUUUCCUCUUCCUUUCACCCUGGAACAGUCAGGAUGGGCAGGCGGUCUCCACCGCUUCUCCUCUUUUGCCCAGUCCCCGACACCCACCCAUUUCCUCAUCCUGGAUCCUGGUUUGGUGGCCAUGAAGGCCAGAACCACCGUGAUGGUUUUGGCCAAGACACAAGACACCACAAUAGAGAAGAUGAUGUCAAAGGCCGGUUGUCAUAAAGAGCAGCUCACUGGGUGAGGCUGGCCAAUGAAGAGCAAGGAGCAGAGGAAGCAGAGCAAGAGGGCAAGGAGCAGAGUGUAGGUGAGGUCCCAGUUGUUGGCUUUGACAAUGGCAGUGUCCCCGUUCUUAGAGAAGACACCAAGGACCAAGGCUGUGACCAGAGUGAAAAGCAGAGCUUCAUUGAAACUGCCUGACAACUCAUUAUUAUCAUUAGUUUUUAAUGUUUACUGUUUUACUGUGAUUUUAUAAUAUGUUGGGGCUAAAUAUUCCUGGUAAGGAAAGCCGCAAUAGAUCUGGCAAUGGUCAGAAGUCCCAAGCCCCCUAGACCCAAUAAAUCAUUAUAAGACACCAUUCAUUGCAUUCCACUAUUAUUUCUUCUGCUCAGGUGCGCAUGGCAAAGCUCGGAUGUGGAGGAGCAAUAAAGAGCCAUAUAGCACAAAAAAUGACUGGUAUGAAGGAGCAGCCAAGAAGAAUAGAGUUGGUCAGUCUUUCCCCCACCCAUUUCCUCAUUCUGGAUCCUGGUUUCGUGGCCAUGAAAACCAGAACCACCAUUAUCGUUUUUGCUCGUAUCCAUGAAACCACCACCAAGAGGGUUAUUCCAAAUGCAGUUUGUCCUGUUUAGUAGGUUACUAUGUAAGGCCAGCCAAGGAACAGCAAGGAGCAGAGAAAGCAGAGCAUCAGGGAGGAAGAGCAGAAUGUAGGUGAGGUCCAAAUUCUGGCUUUGACAAUGGGAGCAUUCCAGUGCUUAGGGAAGACUCCAACACCAAAGACAAACUCGGAGAAAAAGGCAGAGCCAAAAAAUAUCAAGUGAUCCCCAUAAGUUCUGAGAAUGAGAGAAUAUUGGGUUCUUGGGAAUGCAUUGAACUCAAUCCUUGUUUGGAAAUUGAUCUGGGC
rnacentral:lncRNA from 1 species